GAUGAAGAACGUAGCGAAAUGCGAUACUUGGUGUGAAUUGCAGAAUCCCGUGAACCAUCGAGUCUUUGAACGCAAGUUGCGCCCGAAGCCAUCAGGUUGAGGGCACGUCUGCCUGGGCGUCACAUAUCGUUGCCCAAUGCCUAUUGCAGUGCAAUAGGAAUUUCUAGGGCGAAUGAUGGCUUCCCGUGAGCGUUGUUGCCUCGCGGUUGGUUGAAAAUCGAGUCCUUGGUAGGGUGUGCCAUGGUAGAUGGUGGUCGAGUUAGAACGAUACCGAUCAUGUGCAUGCUCCCCAAAAUAUGGCCUCUAUGACCCACACGCGUCUUUUGACGCUCAUAACGAGACCUCAGGUCAGGCGGGGCUACCCGCUGAAUUUAAGCAUAUCAAUAAGCGGAGGA
rnacentral:misc_RNA from 1 species